rnacentral:rRNA from 1 species
CCCAGACUCCUACGGGAGGCAGCAGUGGGGGAUAUUGCACAAUGGGGGGAACCCUGAUGCAGCGACGCCGCGUGGGUGAAGGAGCGUUUCGGCGCGUAAAGCCCUCUCGGCAGGGAAGAAGGAGGACGGUACCUGACUAAGAAGCCCCGGCUAACUACGUGCCAGCAGCCGCGGUAAUACGUAGGGGGCAAGCGUUAUCCGGAUUUACUGGGUGUAAAGGGGGCGCAGACGGCAGCGCAAGCCAGGAGUGAAAGCCCGGGGCCCAACCCCGGGACUGCUCUUGGAACUGCGCGGCUGGAGUGCAGGAGGGGCAGGCGGAAUUCCUGGUGUAGCGGUGAAAUGCGUAGAUAUAAGGAGGAACACCGGUGGCGAAGGCGGCCUGCUGGACUGCGACUGACGUUGAGGCCCGAAAGCGUGGGGAGCAAACAGGAUUAGAUACCCCUGUAAUA